GACGAACGCUGGCGGCGCGCCUAACACAUGCAAGUCGAGCGAAGCGGCGGACGGGUGAGUAACAGGUGAGUAACCUACCUUUGACACAGGGAUAGCCUCGGGAAACCGGGAUUAAUACCAGAUGGUCAAAGAUGGACUCGCCACUGAUUAGCUCGUUGGUGAGAUAACAGCCCACCAAGGCAACGAUCAGUAGCCGGCCUGAGAGGGUGAACGGCCACAUUGGAACGGAGACACGGUCCAAACUCCGACGGGAGGCAGCAGUGGGGAAUAUUGCACAAUGGGGGGAACCCUGAUGCAGCGACGCCGCGUGAGCGAAGAAGGUAUUCGUAUCGUAAAGCUCUGUCCUAUGGGAAGCGGUACCAUAGGAGGAAGCUCCGGCUAACUACGUGCCAGCAGCCGCGGUAAUAC
rnacentral:rRNA from 1 species